CCCCUCAUCUCUCAUCUCUGCUCUCCCUUCGCAUUUGACGCUUCUCCAUCUGUUCUCUCUGCCUUGCUCUGCCUUCGUACCAAAAACACUGAUCUGCUACCAAAAACCAGGUUGAACAUGGAGAUGCUGAUGAAAGAGAAAAGGUUAUCCACUGAGAGCUUGUAGCAUAUUGCUUCACUUGUUUGACCCGUAAACCAGGAAUGGAAGAAAUAUCCUUGUUUGGGGGGGUGUAGGGUAUGUUUCAAAGCUCCGUGGGCAAAGAGGGAAUCACCAAAGGAGAGAAUUUUUGAUAGCUCAUGAGUCAUGAUUGUAGUUGAAAGUGUUUUUUUUUUUUUUUAAUACGCUGGUAGCUUUUCUUUAUUUUAUGUAGUUUUCUUUUAGCUUUUAAUUGUCUUCCUCAUUUUUGGGAUAAGGGGCUGUACAAUGGUAGCUUUCUCGAAUCUUUUUGUUCUCAGAUAUUUUUGUUUAUGUUGCUGCUGCUAAGAAAUGAAUGAAUCUUGUUCUUGCAC